rnacentral:rRNA from 1 species
UACGUAGGGUGCGAGCGUUAAUCGGAAUUACUGGGCGUAAAGCGUGCGCAGGCGGUUUGUUAAGAUAGGCGUGAAAUCCCCGGGCUCAACCUGGGAACUGCGUUUAUGACUGGCAGGCUAGAGUAUGGCAGAGGGGGGUGGAAUUCCACGUGUAGCAGUGAAAUGCGUAGAGAUGUGGAGGAACACCGAUGGCGAAGGCAGCCCCCUGGGCCAAUACUGACGCUCAUGCACGAAAGCGUGGGUAGCAAACAGGAUUAGAUACCCUGGUAGUCCACGCCCUAAACGAUGUCAACUAGGUGUUGGGUGGGUAAAACCAUUUAGUACCGGAGCUAACGCGUGAAGUUGACCGCCUGGGGAGUACGGCCGCAAGGUUAAAACUCAAAGGAAUUGACGGGGACCCGCACAAGCGGUGGAUGAUGUGGAUUAAUUCGAUGCAACGCGAAAAACCUUACCUACCCUUGACAUGUCCGGAAGCCCUUAGAGAUUUGGGUGUGCUCGAAAGAGAGCCGGAACACAGGUGCUGCAUGGCUGUCGUCAGCUCGUGUCGUGAGAUGUUGGGUUAAGUCCCGCAACGAGCGCAACCCUUGUCGUUAAUUGCCAUCAUUUAGUUGGGCACUUUAACGAGACUGCCGGUGACAAACCGGAGGAAGGUGGGGAUGACGUCAAGUCCUCAUGGCCCUUAUGGGUAGGGCUUCACACGUCAUACAAUGGUCGGUACAAAGGGUUGCCAACCCGCGAGGGGGAGCUAAUCCCAGAAAGCCGAUCGUAGUCCGGAUUGCAGGCUGCAACUCGCCUGCAUGAAGUCGGAAUCGCUAGUAAUCGCGGAUCAGCAUGUCACAGUGAAUACGUUCCCGGGUCU